rnacentral:rRNA from 1 species
GUCUAUGGCCAUGCCACCCUGUCCAAGCCUGAUGUCUGAUCUCGGAAGCUAAGCAGGGUCGGGCCUGGUUAGUACUUGGAUGGGAGACCACCUGGGAAGAGUAGGUGCUGUAGGCA